UGCCAGCAGCCGCGGUAACACGUAAGGAGCGAGCGUUGUUCGGAAUUAUUGGGCGUAAAGGGCAUGUAGGCGGUUCUGUAAGUCUGAUGUGAAAGCACGCAGCUUAACUGCGAUGUUGCGUUGGAAACUGCAGGACUUGAAUCCGAGAGGGGUGUGUGGAAUUCCUAGUGUAGGGGUGAAAUCUGUUGAUAUUAGGAAGAACACCAGAGGCGAAGGCGACACACUGGCUCUGGAUUGACGCUGAGGUGCGAAAGCGUAGGUAGCGAACAGGAUUAGAUA
rnacentral:rRNA from 1 species